AAUGAACGUUGGCGGCGUGGAUUAGGCAUGCAAGUCGAGCGAGAACUCCCCGCAAGGGGAGGGACAGCGGCGUAAGGGAGAGUAAUACGUAGGUACCUACCCUUGGGACUGGGAUAGCCGCGGGAAACUGCGGGUAAUACCAGAUGACGUCUUCGGACCAAAGGUGUGAUUCCGCCCGAGGAGGGGCCUGCGUCCUAUUAGCUAGUUGGCGAGGUAACGGCUCACCAAGGCCAUGAUGGGUACGGGGUGUGAGAGCAUGCCCCCGCUCCCUGGGACUGAGACACUGCCCAGACACCUACGGGUGGCUGCGGUCGAGGAUCUUCGGCAAUGGGCGCAAGACUGACCGAGCGACGCCGCGUGUGGGAUGAAGGGCUUCGGGGUGUAAACCACUGUUGGAGGGGAGGAAGUGCCAGGGGGUUCUCCCCCUGGUUUGACCUAUCCUCUGAGGAAGGACGGGCUAAGUUCGUGCCAGCAGCCGCGGUAA
rnacentral:rRNA from 1 species